rnacentral:rRNA from 1 species
GAUUAACGCUAGCGGCAGGCCUAAUACAUGCAAGUCGAACGGGAUUUCGGGUAGCAAUAUCUGAAUGAGAGUGGCGCACGGGUGCGUAACACGUAUGCAAUCUACCUCUGACUGGGGAAUAGCCUUCCGAAAGGAAGAUUAAUACCGCAUAAAAUAAUGAAGUGGCAUCACUUUAUUAUCAAAACUCUGGUGGUCAGAGAUGAGCAUGCGUCCGAUAGCUAGUUGGCGGGGUAACGGCCCACCAAGGCGACGAUCGGUAGGGGUCGUGAGAGGAUGAUCCCCCACCACU